UACGAAGGGGGCUAGCGUUGCUCGGAAUCACUGGGCGUAAGGGUGCGUCGGCGGGUCUUUAAGUCAGGGGUGAAAUCCUGGAGCUCAACUCCAGAACUGCCUUUGAUACUGAAGAUCUUGAGUUCGGGAGAGGUGAGUGGAACUGCGAGUGUAGAGGUGAAAUUCGUAGAUAUUCGCAAGAACACCAGUGGCGAAGGCGGCUCACUGGCCCGAUACUGACGCUGAGGCACGAAAGCGUGGGGAGCAAACAGG
rnacentral:rRNA from 1 species